rnacentral:tRNA from 1 species
CGCGGGGUGGAGCAGCCUGGUAGCUCGCAAGGCUCAUAACCUUGAGGUCGUGGGUUCAAAUCCCACCCCCGCAC